UUCUCCUUCUCUUCUAAACUUUUAAAUAGAUCUUACUUUGAAAUCUUUUCCUAUCAUAAAAUGAACGUAUAUGGAAACUCAGGAUCAAUGAUAAAACAUAGUGACAUUCUUAACUUUUCAUACGAUCGUAAGAAAUGACAUGAGCGUCAGGUUUCGGGGACAUAAGGAACAAAAUGUAUGUAUAUUCCUUUUGCGAACGUUCUUUCUAACUGUAAUGUCACGGCUGAUUGACCAACAAUUCGAAGAAGGCGCGUAGAAACAGAAAAGCGUGAUGUCGAUAAAAUCUUAGAUCAAACUUCCACAUCGAAGUAAAGUACCUUUCUACAACUUCUCUUAUGAUGUAUAACUGAAUAUUUUCAACGAAAUAUUAUUAUAAAUGUCUAACUUGUCGAAGCUAUACCGGAUGAACUUGAAGAUAUUUUCGUAAGAUCUUUUAACUUAAAAAGGAACGAAAAUGUCGAUUUCGUUCUUGAAUGUCGAUUUAGCAGCGGAUUAACGCGCGUUCGAGUGACAGGGGCGACAAAAAUCUUUAUCCGUUCCUGAAUGGGACAGAACACACCGACAGUAGAGAGAUAUCACUUUCCCGGCUUUCUUGGUGCCACGCCCGAUCGUACCGUACUUUUAUGCGAACUUGAACGAAACGCGUGUUCUUCGCGGCGCAUACUAAUUGACGAAGCCAGAAAAAUACGACCAGUUCUAAAAUUUCACACGAAAUCACGAACGACGAGUAGAAUCGUGUUUAGUUAAAUUGUAUGCCUCUCAUUAAGAGGAGAAAUCGGAGGUAUCAACAUAAAAACAAUUUAAAUGAUAAUUAAUUGGAACAAUGGAGAAAUUAGACUAAUAAUACAUCUAAUACGAGACUUGUAAAUUAUCGACUGACCUUUUAGUCAAUUAUAGAGCUCAUUAUCUCCACCGUUUCGUAUAGCUUCUAGAUUGCUCCUUGAGAAACUACUUCGAAAACUUUG